rnacentral:rRNA from 1 species
UUAUUAUGAGAGUUUGAUCCUGGCUCAGGACGAACGCUGGCGGCGUGCCUAAUACAUGCAAGUCGAACGCUUCUUUCCUCCCGAGUGCUUGCACUCAAUUGGAAAGAGGAGUGGCGGACGGGUGAGUAACACGUGGGUAACCUACCCAUCAGAGGGGGAUAACACUUGGAAACAGGUGCUAAUACCGCAUAACAGUUUAUGCCGCAUGGCAUAAGAGUGAAAGGCGCUUUCGGGUGUCACUGAUGGAUGGACCCGCGGUGCAUUAGCUAGUUGGUGAGGUAACGGCUCACCAAGGCCACGAUGCAUAGCCGACCUGAGAGGGUGAUCGGCCACACUGGGACUGAGACACGGCCCAGACUCCUACGGGAGGCAGCAGUAGGGAAUCUUCGGCAAUGGACGGAAGUCUGACCGAGCAACGC